UGAAGACAUACACACAGGGAGGACACCAUGGAAGGACGGAGCAGAGAUAUGAAUGAUACAGCUGCAAGCCAAGGAGCACCCACGGUUGCCGGCUACCAGCAGACACUAGGGUGCGCCAGUCUAUGGGAAUAAAGUCAUGGAAAAUACCCUCCAUUUUCCCUUAAUGUGCAAAUAUUCGUGGAAGAGAAAUACAGCAAAGAGAAAAGGCUAUUACAGAAAGAACCAUAAUAGACGUGAGGAGAGCACGCAGGGAGGAUAAACAACGCUGCCCAAAGAUUUGCAAAGACGUGUUCUUGCAGGAAGACUGAAGGUUCGCCAGGUAUUGGCACAUAAGAGGAGGAAAGUGGUGGGUGGUGCCUGUUGGGUGGUGGGGGGCUGGGGGGAGACAGGGAAUGGCAAGGAGAGAGGUUAGGUCCUUAGGGAGCAAAACCUAUGAUGUUUGCGGAAGGCAAUAAGGAGUUCAAUGGGGAUGAGCAAAGAUACAGGACAAGAAGAAAAAAGAGAUUGGACGAGUGCUGGAAUAUAAAGACUAUUACAGAAUAAAAACAACUUUACCAGAAGAAGCAAGCUAAGGUGAAAAGUGUUCAAGAAGGGCAAGGAUAUGCUGCCAUAUUUUAUGUCUCAUCCUGGAAGGAGGUGUUGUAAAAAGAACAAGACUGGGCUCAAUAUUGACUGGACAUCCUAGACUUCAUGUGUGGCUUUAUGGGAUGUAGCCCUGUUGGUAUAAUCAUCUUGCUGUCGCCACUUGGUAUCCAAAGUCAAGGUCCCUCACUAAGUAAGGCUGGAGUUUUACUUUAUGUACGCGAAUCAUCUCACUGUACCAUCCUGUGAAAAGGUUAAUCCCGGGAAAGAAAAUGAAGACUCACUUUUGGUACCUUUAACCAAAGUGUAGUCUGGGCUUGAACUUGAACCUGAAAACAAGCAUGACCUAACAUGAUUAUUAUGAGGAAUUGCCUGUGAUGUGCUUUCCUUCUUUCUUCCCCCACCUUGGCUGUGCUCUGUUGGAACAGUGGAACUUUCUCCUCCAUACUUGGGAAGGUGAAGAACAGAAUCCCGUUCUGGAGCCUAGAGCAGUGGUGGAGGCCUUGUCAUCCAUAGAAGACAAGUAUGUCUGGCAACAAGGUGAUCCCACAGCAGUGAGAAAUGGGGCGACAAAGCUGCACUUUAUCCUGGCACUGUCACCCUAUAAAACAGCUGCGGCUAAGAAACCUCCCACCCAUUCUUUGGUGUUCUGGGAAACAGCCUGCCGCAAAGUAACAUCCUUCUCCAAAUGACCUAAGUAAGACUCGCAGACGCUCCCUUGUUUAUAUAUGUGGUGAGAUGGAAGUAAGCCCCAAGUGGAAAAAUAUGUGGGACUCCAUUCUGAACACACAUUCAGAUGAGUUAGCAUCCUGGAGAAGCGUCAGAAAGAACAAGAGAAAAGUAUAAAGAAGGACAAUUAGGAAUUACAUAUUGGUUCCCAUUCCUUUCCUUCCCAUGAAUCAUCCAGGUUUGCCAAGCUUGGCAAGGCCAGGGCCAAAGAGGCAGCCAGGGCUACUGAGGCACACAAGACCCAGGCCAAGAAGGUGACUGAGACUAAAGGAGUGACCAAAACUUGUGGGGCUUGGGCAGAGGAAGCAGCCAAAGGGGUCAAUAUAUUGAUUAUAAAAGAGGGAAAUGAGCAAAUAAGAAAAUAGGAACCAUGUUUCUCAUUGGGAAAGGGAGUUCAAAUGACACAGCUAGAAUAAUUCCUGUGAUUUGGGGAUUUGAAUUAGAGGUAUGGAUGAAUUUAUACCAACUAACAGAAGUAAUGGACUUAAGUACAAUUUGGAAAUAAGGAAUAUGUUGCCAAGAGAACCCCCACAUGCCAAAAAGACAUUGGGUGCUGGAAAGGUCAAUAACUUCUUUGGGGGGCAGUGUAAGAGAUAGAAUGUGCCAGAGAAAUCUGCUCUGCUCUCUACAGAGACCUCAGUUACAUAAGAAAUAAACCAUCUUAUCCUCUUGUUGUGUGUGUGGCAUCUUCAGUCUUGAUAUCUGAAAAAAAUUGGGGUGGGAUUCCAUCAUGCCUCUGUAGUUGGGUUACGGCACUUACAAUGGAGAAAACAGGUAGGCACCACCUUAGCAACGUGAUCUAAUUUCACAUCAUCAGUGAUAGGGUAAAUAUCACGUGCCUUCUGCUGUGAUGAACAGAGAA